AGUGAACGCUGGCGGUAGGCCUAACACAUGCAAGUCGAACGGCAGCACAGUAAGAUCUUGCUCUUACGGGUGGCGAGUGGCGGACGGGUGAGGAAUACAUCGGAAUCUACUUUUUCGUGGGGGAUAACGUAGGGAAACUGACGCUAAUACCGCAUACGACCUACGGGUUAAAGCAAGGGAUCUUCGGACCUUGCGCGAUUGAAUGAGCCGAUGUCGGAUUAGCUAGUUGGUGGGGUAAAGGCCUACCAAGGCGACGAUCCGUAGCUGGUCUGAGAGGAUGAUCAGCCACACUGGAACUGAGACACGGUCCAGACUCCUACGGGAGGCAGCAGUGGGGAAUAUUGGACAAUGGGCGCAAGCCUGAUCCAGCCAUACCGCGUGGGUGAAGAAGGCCUUCGGGUUGUAAAGCCCUUUUGUUGGGAAAGAAAAGCUGCAUGUUAAUCCCCCGCUGUUCUGACGGUACCCAAAGAAUAAGCACCGGCUAACUUCGUG
rnacentral:rRNA from 1 species